GAGUGAAGCCGAACGUUCAGACUGCCCGUUUAAAACCUCGACACUUCUUCGCGCAUAGUUCUUCACACCACGUUAACCUGCUGGAGAGAGCUAAGACCUGCUAUAUAACUUUAAUACAAAAAAGCUUCAUCUCCAUCUUCCUAAUUCAACCUGGUGUCCAAAACAGAGUUUUUUUCUGCUGCCACUAUCGUCAUGAGUGAACCUCCAAAGAGGAUGGGCUGCCUGACCCAAAAAGAUGGGAAGCAAGUGACUGUCAUCAAAAAUCCGUUUGGAAAAGCAUUGAAAGCUAAAUCAACCCAAGUACUCGCCCAGUAUAAAGUGACGUACUAUGAGUGGGACAUGGAUGUUGCUUUCUUAUUCAAUUAUGAAGGACAACACUACUCUCUCAAAGUCGGAAAGGGCCUGGAGCUGGUUCAACAUGCUGAAAAAGAUCUGCCGAAGAACUUGGACAAAGAUUACCGCUUUAGGUGGGGAGAUGAUAAAGGGGAUGGGUGGAGGCGUCUGGUGCAUAAAAAAGACAACGUGGAGAAGCUCCUCUGCUGUGAUGAAAACGGCAAAAUUGUCUUGAUGGACAAAUCGGAAAUACGUGGGAUGAAUUACCUGUUUGAUAUAAAGGACUGGUUUCUAUAAAUGCAAUUCAUUAUUAUUUUUAUGUUGCAUACAAUAUAAAGACAGAUAGAUACAAAGAUACAGAAGAAAAAUACACAUUUUCUUUGUAUCUUUUAUCUUUUUAACCUUGUUAAGCACAUCCCUGCUUGUACAUGUCUGUUAUCUUAUGACAGCAACAAGGAAAAUGUUAUAAUUUUGUAAGGAAUGGCAGAAAACUUUAGCCAUUCCUUACUAGAGAUAAUUCAGAAUUUUGUCUUCAUAUAUAUUGGGUUCCUUCCUUCAUUAUGUUCCUGUGCUGAAUCCAAUUGGGAGAAGACUUGACUCCACAAAAGUGGAUAGAAGCAGGCUUUGGGACCAUCAUUAUUCAUCUGUGAUUGAAAGAGUAUAGUAUUAUCUUAGUACUGUGGAGCUCUGCGGCUUGCACUUGGCAUUACAGUGUAUUGCAAGACUGGCCAGUGUUCUAUGCUACAUGUAGACAUCGAUACAGUUCAGCAUCAACAAUAUGAAUAUUAUUUUACUAUAUCUAUUCUUCUUUUUUUAAUACUCUUGUGUUCUUUAUUUUUCUGCUGUUAUUGUGUACAUUGUGGAUUUCGUUUGGUAUUCUUACACCCUCAUUUCCUGUCUGGGACAACAGAUUUGAAAUGAGACGUGAACUAAAUAGAACUGAUUGCAUCGUUGUUUCCUGCCUUGGAUUAAUAAAGUACGACUUGUUUUAUCUCUUGUAGGUUUUUUUUUA